AGUCACUAGCAAAAGAUAUUCGAAGGACGAACAAGCUUCUUGGUUGUUCAUUAGCAAUAAUUAGGUGGGGUGUGAUGAACCAUCCUUAAUUUCAUUUUUAUUUUCUCUCCGAAGCUGUGAAAUGAUGAAAAUAUCCUUGUUCGGCUAAUUAGAAUCCUACUUCAGGGGAACGGUAAUCAUCCCAUUGACAACACUACUGUCUAUCGAUCAACUCCCUCUCUAUCUCUCUCACACUCUUCUUCUUCCUUCUGCAACUCAGAGAAAAAUGACAUCAUGCUCGACGAAUCGAACCUCCAAACCAUCACCAUCAUGAUCCACUCAUCAAACCCAGCACGAUUGCGCCUUUCGUUUCCCGAACUCAGCCAGAAAUUAGAGAACUACGAACUCUAUUCAAAACUUUUCCGCGACCUUUCCGUCAAUUCAGAUGGCGUCAGACCACGAUCUUGGUCCUGAUCGACUCAUUGUCAAAGCAGAGAAAGCCGAUGACUUUUCCGACCCUUUCCAUCGAGUUGGGCGAGUUGGAGGAAGACAUUCUAAUCACCAUCAUCCCUAGACUAUGUUUCAAGCAACUUGAGCUCCGAUCUACUUCGGGAUCAAAGAAUCCCACAACUUUUGAUUCGGGCCGAAAUUUACAGGCCACUUUUUGGACUUGCAAUUAGAAUCCGUCGGCGAAGUAGACUACGGCGCCAGAGCCCGAAGGAAAGAAGAGGACGAUCAAAUAUCCUGUCACAGUGACGGAAUAUUCCCUAACACCGGCUGCAUUUUCCGUUAACGACAUGUAUAUCCUGCGAUGAAAUAUUCCACUCCAGCGUGUGACGGCGCCAGCUAGCAUGUGCUAGCGCGUGACGGCUCCCAUCGGCUUUCGGCCAACGUGUGGCGACGCGGGGUGGCUCUCGAGCUUUGUUUUUAACACUUUCAAUCCCCGUUUUGAGCAAACAAAGAGAAUUUUGAGUCUUUUUCUUAGUAUUUACAAAUUUUGGGUUGUUUAAUAAUUAGUGUUGUGGUUUUCCAUAUAAAAGAGACUUACCCUGAGGAGUUCACAGGCCAAGCAAGUAUGCUAUUUUGGAAAUCAUAUGGGUUUUACAUCAAGGGGUUAGUAUUCUACGAAAAACAAAAGUUUUAUUAAACCCUUGCUUUUGUUUACUUACACUUACUGUUUUGCACCCUUUCAAUUCCUAUUUUUGCGACGAGCGAGGGAUCUUUGGUGGCUCUAGCAUCUACUCCAGUUGAUGUAGGAAUUUUCAAUCCUAUGGUUGUGUAAUAUCAUCCUAAUCAGGAUGAGAAUAUUCCUACUUUCACUGCAUUAUUAGUUGUGUUUUGACAAUUGCAUACUUUGUAAUAUAUGUUUUAAUUUACUCGUACUGUCCACACAUCAUUCCCAUUUUAUGACUUUGUCACCUUUUAGAUGUCGGUCAUCACGCCUUGAAUUCGGUGUCCACUUGGAUAUUCAAGUCUGGAUGUGGCAUGAAGAGACUCAAAGUGGCAUUAAGAGACUCAAAGUCAAUUGUGGUUGAAUGAAUGGAAGUGAGACAUGAGACUUUUGUGAUUUGGAUGAUUCAGGUAGUGUGGCUUAAGAGGAAAUUGAAGAUAAAUACGACAAAUUGGAGGGCAACUGAUUGCGAUAGUGGGACUGGUAAGUCAGUAAGGUAAUAUCAUGAGAUCGAAGGAAACGGAAACUCCAACAAAAUCUUAAGGGUGGAGGCAAGAUUUGAUAUGACUUAAUUUACCCUAUAAAUUCCUAUGUAAUCCUUUAUUUUUAAAAAUCCUUUCAAAUCAAUGGUAUUUUGAAUACAACUGGACUUCUAUAAAUUCAUUUCAAAUCCUAGCUAAAUACUUUAUACUUCAAGAAAUUCCUUUAAAAUUCUGAUUGAGUAUCCUAGGGGUCGAUGCAUAUGUACUCGGGUGGUUUCGGAACUACCUAGAAGUUCAAAGAAGUGCAUGUGAGGACCUUUGAGGACCAUCCAAAAGUCUGGGCAGGUGAUGGCAGAGAGAAGACCACCAUGACUGUGCAAAUGCUGUGCAGCAUAAGCUUUGACCAAGAAGAAAUAUCUAAUUUCAAAUGAAGAGGAACACAGAAAAGACCACUAUAACUCUGUUGCUCUUGGACCUUGGUUCCAACGAAGAAGGACUUUAGCUUUCCAUUUCUCACGUGACCAGCUCCCACUUUUUAAAUUGUUGAUCAAUCAGAUUGUGCCAACUAGCAUUUUAAUUAAUAAAAGAAUGGUGUAUUACUUAA